AAGCGACUAUGACAACAUUGGUUUCAUCCCCUUUAAAUCAUAAUUUCCAGCCGAAAUUUCAUUUAACGAAACUAACGGGAUUCAGUUAUUGCGCGCUCGUCUCUCUCACAUCUCUCGCCAGAGGAGCAUCUCUCUCUCAAUCGAUGAUGGCCCCCUCAGCUCUCUGUUUCUGUCCAUCGUCUUCUCGCUUUUAAGUUCUUCUCUUUUAGGACACCUUGAUUGACCUCGCAGCUCAGCCCCCUCCUUUUCAAAAGGAGGUAAAAGUGGUGGAGCAUGGGAGCAACCUUGCACACCUCAAUAUUAAGCUGCAGUCUCACUGCCCUAAGCACCAAGCCAAGAGCCCCUCUCACAGCAUGUCUGUGAUGUUUGAGCCAUAAGGCAGGAAGUGCCACUUUUCAAUGAGUCCUGCAACCUAUUUCUAGAGCUUGACUGCAUUUUCUAGCAAUUGACGCUUCCUCUAAUUCAAUUUUCGAGACUAUUGAAUUCGAAAUUCACAGAUUAUUCAAACUGAACUUCCUUUCAAGAAUCCAUAAGUAUUUGAAGAACUUGGAUUUCUUGAGUGUUUAUGAUUGUUCUUUCAUGAGUUCUUUGAACUGUUGGGAAUUAAGUAAGAGGACCUUUACUUAACCACAACCAUAAUGGUUGCUGGAAAGUUUGUUUGCAGAUAUCGGCUGCAAAGAUAUAUAGAUGUUAUAACAAUGUCUCAAGGAUUACCUAGGAAUUCUUUGUGGAGAAAUUGGGUUAACCAUCUUACUGAAAUAUGUUUGGUGCAUCCAAUUUGGUUCCAGUGAUAGGAUUGGAAUGGACGAUGUGACUGGUUUGGAACAGAACUGUCUCCUGUGUGGUCUACUUCAGAUAUUUGACCCUAAAAUUCAAAGAGUUGGUUACUUGGGGUGUCCAUAAUCUAACUACCUACCCGCCUGAGUGUCUCUAUCUGACAGCAUGAGCGGUCAAGCGGCUUGUAUUAGACUGAUUAUUUUGAAUGAAUUGCAUUCCAAGCUUUUUUCUUCUAAGGGAAUUGGGUCCAACUGGUUUGAUUGGUUGAGAGGAAAGAUUAUACUGAUAGCCUUCAUCAUUUAUGGACCAAUUCUUAUCAUUUGAUCCUGUAAUUCAUGUAGAUACUUGUGUUCUACUAUUUCUGGAAGCAUGAAUGUUUUGAUUUUGAUGGGGAUGGCAUGUCUGUGAAUGCUUGUUUGGACGAAUCAGAUAUGCUCUGGUAUAGAGAGAUUUGAAGGUGUUAUCGGAAUGUUAUGGUUGAGUACACAUGAUUGUACCAUAUGCAUGUGUAUUUUAUGUGGAAUGGGCUGUGAAUAUAUUCUGCAUGAUAGCUCAGAAAUUGCCACUACGUUCCUGGAUAUAUAUAAAUAAUUUCAUGCGAUGUCUGGGCAAUUGUCAUUGUACAUGCAAUAUCAAGACUUCUGACAAUUGUCAUUGUACAUGCAAUAUCAAGACUUUGCAUUUCCAAUCAUUCAAGAAAGCUGUUUUAUACUUCAUUAAUAUGGAUUCUUGGCCCCAAACAAUUUAUGUUGUGAAAAUGUAAAGAGAACUCAGUUUGAUUUUGCACUUCCAAGAUAUAUGGAUUAACAUGUAUUGGAAAAACAGAAAUGUGGGCUUCACCCCAUAUAUUUCCCAAUUUCCAUUAUUGUUAUGGUUGGUUGUAUACGAUAUGUAUAUCGUGCUCUGAAGCAUGUUUGAGAAUUAAAUUGCAACAAGUUUAUCCUUAUUGUCUUCUUAUUGGGUUAAUAUUCCCUAUGAAUGCAUUUAUCUCUAGUGACAGGAAAAGUGGUGGUUCUUGAAAACUCCUCUCACCAAAGAAUGGAACUCAGAUCCUCACCUACCAAUCAUUUCAGGUCACUUCAAGGUAACCACGUUGAAUGAACUCGUUCAAGCGCUUCAGCUCCCCACUCUGCUCGUCUACCACUGCUUGGACAACAUCUCGAAUGGAGACCAUCCCGACCAUCUUCGCAUCUAUCACAGAUCAGAUUGUUGAUUCCUAUAAGCUGUUGAUGCUUCCAACCAGUAUACAACUUUUGGG